rnacentral:misc_RNA from 1 species
GUGAUUAACUCGAGCGUGUCUUCAUGACCGCUAACCUUUCACAUCACAUACACCUGUGCACUGCUUUAGGCCUGAGCCGGUUUUCCGGUCCAGGUAUAUUUCAUACAAACUCUUAAGUUCUUAUGAAUGUAACGUUUUGUUAAUUAACAAAUAAUUA